AUAGCGUAUAUUAAAGUUGUUGCAGUUAAAAAGCUCGUAGUUGAAUUUUAGCCCUGGCUGGGUGGUCCGGCCUUCCGGUCGGUACUGCUUUGGUUGGGGUUCACCUUCUGGUAAGCCAGCAUGCUCUUCAUUGGGUGUGUUGGGGAACCAGGACUUUUACUUUGAAAAAAUUAGAGUGUUUAAAGCAGGCAUACGCUUGAAUACAUUAGCAUGGAAUAAUGGAAUAGGACUUUGGUUCUAUUUUGUUGGUUUCUAGGACCUCGGUAAUGAUUAAUAGGGAUAGUUGGGGACAUUAGUAUUUAAUUGUCAGAGGUGAAAUUCUUGGAUUUAUGAAAGACUAACUUCUG
rnacentral:rRNA from 1 species